rnacentral:rRNA from 1 species
CCUGCGGUUGGAUCAUUAAAAAGUUUGAAAAGGGCCUAUGUCAAAGAUGCUUUUAGUUUAGUUAAUUUUUGGCCGUUUCGUUCAUUCAUUCGUUCAUUCUGAUACUGUUUUUUCAGCAUCCUUUGACUUAGUCCCUAAUCAAAAACCAACCCUGUGUGAACUGUUUUGUCUCUGGCGGCUGGGUAGGGAUAUACUUUGUGUAGCUCUAUCUGUCAGCUUAGUCUCUUCUGAGCCGUGGACAACCCGCCAAACAAUACUGAACAAACUUAGCUAAUUUUUUCUGUCUAAUAUCUGAUUUGUAUAAAUGUACAAACAACUUUUGGCAACGGAUCUCUUGGCUCUCGCAACGAUGAAGAACGCAGCGAAAUGCGAUAAGUAGUGUGAGUUGCAGAAUUCAGUGAAUCAUCGAAUCUUUGAACGCACAUUGCGCUCCCUGGUAUUCCGGGGAGCAUGCCCGUUUCAGAAUCAUUUUAAUAUCUCACCAAGUUAUGGGUGGAAGCUCAUAACAAGGUGGAAUUUGGAUGUUUUUGUCUCUGUACAAUCAUCUUAAAGUGAUCGUAUGUGCUUGAGUGUGCUCUGGCAGUUGGGUACCAACGUGCAACAGAUUUUAUCUUUUCGCUUUGGUAUUUAAUUGAAAUCAGGUACCUGAAGUGUAUAUUUGCUGGCUUACAGAUGUUAUGCAUAAUGCAUGUAUGGCUUCUGAUAACUUGGUCUGAAAUCGGGCAAGAAAACCCGCUGAACUUAAGCAUAUCAAUAAGCGGAGGAA